rnacentral:rRNA from 1 species
UAAUCGCGAAUCAGAAUGUCGCGGUGAAUACGUUCCCGGGCCUUGUACACACCGCCCGUCACACCAUGGGAGUGGGUUGCACCAGAAGUAGAUAGCUUAACCUUCGGGAGGGCGUUUACCACGGUGUGAUUCAUGACUGGGGUGAAGUCGUAACAAGGUAACCCUAGGGGAACCUGGGGUUGGAUCACCUCCUUACCUUAA